rnacentral:rRNA from 1 species
UACGUAGGGGGCAAGCGUUAUCCGGAUUUACUGGGUGUAAAGGGAGCGUAGACGGCCUUGCAAGUCUGGUGUGAAAGCCCGGGGCUCAACCCCGGGACUGCAUUGGAAACAGCAUGGCUGGAGUGCAGGAGAGGUAAGCGGAAUUCCUAGUGUAGCGGUGAAAUGCGUAGAUAUUAGGAGGAACACCAGUGGCGAAGGCGGCUUACUGGACUGUAACUGACGUUGAGGCUCGAAAGCGUGGGGAGCAAACAGG